rnacentral:rRNA from 1 species
GACGAACGCUGGCGGCGUGCCUAACACAUGCAAGUCGAACGGAGAACUUAAGGGAUGCGACUUCGGUCAAAUGAAAUUUGUUCUUAGUGGCGGACGGGUGAGUAACACGUGAGCAACCUGCCUUUCAGAGGGGAAUAACGGCUGGAAACGGUCGCUAAUACCGCAUAACAUACACUUUAGGCAUCUUUAGUGUAUCAAAGAUUUUAUCGCUGAAAGAUGGGCUCGCGUCUGAUUAGCUAGUUGGUGAGGUAAUGGCUCACCAAGGCGACGAUCAGUAGCCGGACUGAGAGGUUGAACGGCCACAUUGGGACUGAGACACGGCCCAG